rnacentral:rRNA from 1 species
UACGAAGGGGGCGAGCGUUGUUCGGAAUUACUGGGCGUAAAGGGCGCGCAGGCGGCUCUGAAAGUCAGAUGUGAAAGCCCUCGGCUUAACCGAGGAAGUGCGUCUGAAACUGCUGAGCUUGAGUCUCGGAGAGGAUGGCGGAAUUCCGCAAGUAGAGGUGAAAUUCGUAGAUAUGCGGAGGAACACCGGUGGCGAAGGCGGCCAUCUGGACGAGCACUGACGCUGAGACGCGAAAGCGUGGGGAGCAAACAGG